GUAUUAUGUCAAAUUCGACAGUGAAUGGAUUACAAAUUCCGCUUUUUAUUCUCAUACAUUUAAGCCUUGCAUUUUUUUAUUUAGCUCCCAAUGUCAAUGGCGAAGCUUGGUGUUUCAAGUGCGAUGAAUUGGCAAAUUGCAAAGUUCCCACGACUUUUCUAAAGUACGUUCAUGAGGAGGACGAGGGCAAGAUAGUUAGAAAGACAACUGGCGAUUCCUCUAUCCCAAAAAUGGAUAGAUGCCUGAGUCCCGGUUACAAAAUAUCUGGCUCUGUACUAAAUACUAUAUGCUCUGGCAGUGUAGAUGGUAUGUGUCACGCAAUCGGCGCAAAGUCAAAAAACCCGAAGGCUGCAGUAGUGCAUUGCAAACUCUGCGACAAACAUUGUCAGUGUCGAGAAAAACGCGACGGCGGCGACGGCAAGGAAGACAAGGAACGCAAGAAAAGCAAGGAAGACAAGGGAAAUGCUCUAAAAGAAAACGCUAUAAUUGUAGUAAUAUGUCUGGCGGCCUUUUAUAUUCUCGUAUAAUAUACAUCAUUUUAAACCGCAAUUUAUUGGCUUAG
rnacentral:misc_RNA from 1 species